CCUACGGGAGACUGCAGUGGGGAAUAUUGCACAAUGGGGGAAACCCUGAUGCAGCGACGCCGCGUGAGUGAAGAAGUAUUUCGGUAUGUAAAGCUCUAUCAGCAGGGAAGAAAUAAAGUCCUUCGGCAUUUGGAAGGUUCCUGACUAAACAGCCCCGGCUAACUACGUGCCAGCAGCCGCGGUAAUACGUAUGGGGCAAGCGUUAUACGGAUUUACUGGGUGGAAAGGGAGCGUAGACGGCAGCGCAAGUCUGGAGUGAAAUCCCAUGGCUUAACCAUGGAACUGCAUUGGAAACUGUGCAGCUGGAGUGCAGGAGAGGUAAGCGGAAUUCCUAGUGUAGCGGUGAAAUGCGUAGAUAUUAGGAGGAACACCAGUGGCGAAGGCGGCUUACUGGACUGUAACUGACGUUGAGGCUCGAAAGCGUGGGGAGCAAACAGGAUUAGAUACCCUGGUAGUC
rnacentral:rRNA from 1 species